AAGUGAUAGAAUUAAUGAGAAGAUUUACUUUGAAAAAAAAUUCUUAUGUUAAUUAUACAACUCUGCCUAAUGAGUUCAUGUAUCAUGUGUUUAAGACCCAAAGAAAGUUACACAACAUCUUAAACCCAUAUUUUAACUAUAUGUCAGGUCAAAGUUCGGUUUUGAGUUUAUUGAUGGUAUAUGUAUAAAUGAUUAGUCAAUUGCAUAUGUGCCAUUUGAGUCAUUUUGGUUGCAUGUGUGCCGAGAUGAUUUCCUUUAGCUUAGAGAACCUUGGAUAGCUGGGUUCUUUUUAUUGAUUUAAUUUAUUUAAUUAUUUAUUUGUAUGUUCUAAUAUGCGAGCUUGGACUAUAUCUGGUGUAGUUAGAGCAGCCAUUGAUUAUUUAUUCACAUAUGAUAUUAUAUAUAAUCUUGAUUAUUUAUUUGUUUUGAUGCAGUUGAGAUAUAAUUGGGAUAAUUUUAUCGACAGAGAAAUGAAAAAGGUAUGGAAUGAAAAUUCAAGUGAGAGAUACAGGGCAUCCAUUCAUUUGGCUAAGAAAGCAACAUUAUCAUCUGCACAAGAAGAUUUAGGAAGGAAACCAGACAUUUUAGAUAUGAUAGGUAGAGGACCUGAUUGGAUGGAAGCUAAUAUAUGGAAUGACUUGGUUAAUAUUCAUUGGAAUAAACCAGAUCACAAGAUCAAAUGUGAAAUUGCACGGAAGAAUAAAAUGACAGCGAAGGAUGGGUCUACUAUCAAACAUACUGGGAGUUCAAUUUCUUUUGUAGCACACCGUGAGAGAAUGAAAAAAGAUUUGGGACGAGAUGUGGAUGAAUUUGAGGUUUUUGAACGAAUGCAUAAAAGAAAGUAAGGAACAAUAUAAAGAGAGACAAAAUGUUGAUGAUCAGUCUACUCGACCUUCAUUCAAUCUCAAAUCAUGGUGUGAUGUGGUGGGCGAUCCAUGUAAGAGGAGGGUGUACGGAUUUGGACG